rnacentral:misc_RNA from 1 species
GAUGAAGAACGUAGCGAAAUGCGAUAAGUAAUGUGAAUUGCAGAAUUCAGUGAAUCAUCGAGUCUUUGAACGCACAUUGCGCCCCCUGGUAUUCCGGGGGGCAUGCCUGUCCGAGCGUCAUUGCUGCCCUCAAGCCCGGCUUGUGUGUUGGGCCCCGUCCUCCGAUUCCGGGGGACGGGCCCGAAAGGCAGCGGCGGCACCGCGUCCGGUCCUCGAGCGUAUGGGGCUUUGUCACCCGCUCUGUAGGCCCGGCCGGCGCUUGCCGAUCAACCCAAAUUUUUAUCCAGGUUGACCUCGGAUCAGGUAGGGAUACCCGCUGAACUUAAGCAUAUCAAUAAGCGGAGGA